GACGAAGGGGGCUAGCGUUGUUCGGAAUCAUUGGGCGUAAAGCGCGCGUAGGCGGCUCGGAAAGUCGGGCGUGAAAUGCCGGGGCUCAACCCCGGGACUGCGUCCGAUACUUCCGAGCUGGAGGUAGAUAGGGGAGAUCGGAAUUCCUGGUGUAGCGGUGAAAUGCGGCAGAGUAUCAGGAGGAACACCGGUGGCGAAGGCGGAUCUCGUGGGCCUUACCUGACGCUGAGGCGCGAAAGCUAGGGGAGCGAACGG
rnacentral:rRNA from 1 species